UAGCACAGAGAGCUUGCUCUCGGGUGACGAGUGGCGGACGGGUGAGUAAUGUCUGGGAAACUGCCUGAUGGAGGGGGAUAACUACUGGAAACGGUAGCUAAUACCGCAUAAUGUCGCAAGACCAAAGAGGGGGACCUUCGGGCCUCUUGCCAUCAGAUGUGCCCAGAUGGGAUUAGCUAGUAGGUGGGGUAACGGCUCACCUAGGCGACGAUCCCUAGCUGGU
rnacentral:rRNA from 1 species